UGCAAUGGCAACAAGCCCAUGGGGAGUA
rnacentral:piRNA from 1 species